rnacentral:tRNA from 7 species
GGGGAAUUAGCUCAGCUGGGAGAGCGCCUGGUUUGCAACCAGGAGGUCACCGGUUCGAGCCCGGUAUUCUCCA